GGCCCACGUGAUGUUAAUAAAUUUUGAAAUUCACGCCCACCGACAAAAUAGCGUAAAUUCUACGUGAUAGUCGUUAAUUUUUUUCCACUUUUAAAUCGUUAAUUUUGAAGAAUGUUAUUUUUUAACCCUAAAAAAAUUUGUUGCGGCCUGCGACACCAAGACCAAAACAUGUUUGUGGCCCGCAUGAAAAGAAGGUUGGGAACCACUGGUUUACCUAAUUAAA